rnacentral:rRNA from 1 species
GACGAACGCUGGCGGCGUGCUUAACACAUGCAAGUCGAACGGAAAGGCCCUGCUUUUGUGGGGUGCUCGAGUGGCGAACGGGUGAGUAACACGUGAGUAACCUGCCCUUGACUUUGGGAUAACUUCAGGAAACUGGGGCUAAUACCGGAUAGGAGCUCCUGCUGCAUGGUGGGGGUUGGAAAGUUUCGGCGGUUGGGGAUGGACUCGCGGCGUAUCAGCUUGUUGGUGGGGUAGUGGCUUACCAAGGCUUUGAAGGGUAGCCGGCCUGAGAGGGUGACCGGCCACAUUGGGACUGAGAUACGGCCCAGACUCCUACGGGAGGCAGCAGUGGGGAAUAUUGCACAAUGGGCGGAAGCCUGAUGCAGCAACGCCGCGUGCGGGAUGACGGCCUUCGGGUUGUAAACCACUUUCGCCUGUGACGAAGCGUGAGUGACGGUAAUGGGUAAAGAAGCACCGGCUAACUACGUG